rnacentral:rRNA from 1 species
UACGAAGGGGGGCUAGCGUUGUUCGGAUUUACGUGGGCGUAAAGCGCACGUAGGCGGACUAUUGAAGUCAGGGGUGAAAUCCCGGGGCCUUAACCCCGGAACUGCCUUUGAUACUGGUAGUCUUGAGUUCGAGAGAGGUGAGUGGAAUUCCGAGUGUAGAGGUGAAAUUCGUAGAUAUUAGGAAGAACACCGGUGGCGAAGGCGGCCCACUGGUCCGGUACUGACGCUGAGGUGCGAAAGCGUGGGGAGCAAACAGG